UUGCUAUUGUAACGAACACUGUGCUGUGCGGUGCUUACAACUGUGCUUUUUCAUUCCACUUGAGCUGCCAGAGGACACUCCUACUACUAGUCUCAUAGGUCCCAACUGUGUUGCCGACUUAUCUGAUUAGACCACUUGAUCCAGAGAAGCAGCAAGGAGGAGCAGACAGACUGUGACUUUAGGGACUUACACUCUAUUUGGAGAGCCAAAUCAGCACUCGUGGAACAAUUAAAUGCUAAACUGCUGUGAUUACGAAUCAAAGUGAGGUCAACGUGGGCCAGAGCAGUCACAGAGGACUGUCCAGAAGAGGUGGACAUGAGUGUUGGUGGCAUCAGGCUCCUGAGCUUGAUAAACUGGGAAAUACCUCUCCAGGCCUCCCCCAUCUUUCCCUUGCAUCAGCACUCCCUGGUCUGCAUGAGUGAAAGGUCCACAUGUAAGGAUCUCAUAAGUCACCAUUCUGUCCCAAUAAUAAGUAAAGCUGAAUAAACUGAAAAAUCAACAACUCUUCUUAGAUCAUUCAGAGAAGUGAGGUCACAGGGCAAACUACUGCCUGAAAACUGAACAGACAGGUAGGUAGAUACAGAGAAUGCCAACUGGCAGGAGAAUAAACCCAUGGGCAGAAACCUCCAUGGGAACCAGUAGCAAAGCCAAAACUGUCAUAAAUGAAUUCUGGAGGCUCAGUGUAGACACCCUGAGAGGUAAAAACUCCAGCCAUCACAAAAAUGAACUCAAAAUGAAUCAAAAUCAAAUGUAAACAUAAAACUAUAAAACCCCUAGAAGACAAGAGGAGAACACCUAGGUGACCUUGGGUUUGGCCAUGACUUUUUAGAUAUGACACAGAAGGUACAAUCCAUGAAGGAAAUGAUAAGUUAGAUUUCGUUAAAAUUAAAAAUUUCUGCUCUGUGAAAAGACACUGUCAAGAGAAUGAAGUGACAAGUCACAUAUUAGGAGAAAAUAUUUGCAAGAAAAUCCAACAAAAGGCUGUUACCCAAAAUAUUCAAAGAGGCCGGGCGUGGUGGCUCACGCCUGUAAUCCCAGCACUUUGGGAGGCCAAGGUGAGCGGAUCACUUGAGGUCGGGAGUUUGAGACCAGCCUGGCCAACAUGGUGAAACCCUGUCUCUACUAAAAAUACAAAAAUUAAUUGGGCGUGGUGCCACAUGUCUGUAAUCCCAGCUAUUAG
rnacentral:lncRNA from 10 species